GGGACAGGUUGCCAUGGUGAUCUCCUACCCCUUCCAGAUAGAACUUCUCAAGGAUGUUGCCCUUGGGCCUGAAAUAGUUCAGGCCUGCUCUCAGCUGCCGCAGGAGAAGCUGAAAUAGGGAGCCUCACUUCCUCACCUUUUCAACUCACACAAACUGAACCCUGGAGAUGAAAAGUUGCAGAACAGAGAAUAAUAUUUGUUUGGUGGAAAGUUUAUGGGAACAUUGUGACCUGACCUAUGUGGACAGCUACAAGAACAAAGGAUUCCAGCACCAAGAAGUUUUCAAUAACCACCCUCCUUCCCCUUUUAGUAUCAAAGAAGCCGCAAUUCUACUUCAGGAUGGUGUGGUGAUGGACAGGGAGGCCUGGCGUGCUGCGAUUCAUGGGGUCGCAAAGAGUUGGACACGACUGAGCGACUGAACUGAACUGAAGGAUGGUGUGGGUUAUUGUUUGUGCUGUCAGUUACCUAUGUAUCGUGUCUCAGCAUUAAAAUCACCCUUCAC
rnacentral:lncRNA from 1 species